rnacentral:rRNA from 1 species
UGGCGGACGGGUGAGUAACGCGUGGGUAACCUGCCUCAUACAGGGGGAUAACAGUUAGAAAUGACUGCUAAUACCGCAUAAGCGCACGGUUUCGCAUGGAACAGUGUGAAAAACUCCGGUGGUAUGAGAUGGACCCGCGUCUGAUUAGCUGGUUGGCGGGGUAACGGCCCACCAAGGCGACGAUCAGUAGCCGGCCUGAGAGGGUGAACGGCCACAUUGGGACUGAGACACGGCCCAAACUCCUACGGAAGGCAGCAG